rnacentral:rRNA from 1 species
UACGGAGGAUGCAAGCGUUAUCCGGAUUCAUUGGGUUUAAAGGGUGCGCAGGCGGAAUGAUAAGUCAGCGGUGAAAUCCUACAGCUCAACUGUAGAACUGCCAUUGAUACUGUCAUUCUUGAGUACACUUGGAGUGGGCGGAAUGUGUCAUGUAGCGGUGAAAUGCUUAGAUAUGACACAGAACACCGAUCGCGAAGGCAGCUCACUAAGUUGUAACUGACGCUCAGGCACGAAAGCGUGGGGAU